rnacentral:rRNA from 1 species
AACGAACGCUGGCGGCAUGCCUAACACAUGCAAGUCGAACGGGAUCCUAGCUUGCUAGGUGAGAGUGGCGGACGGGUGAGUAACACGUGGGAAUCUGCCUUUUGGUUCGGGAUAACCGCGGGAAACUGCGGCUAAUACCGAAUGCCCUCGAGAGAGGAAAGAUUUAUCGCCAGAAGAGGAGCCCGCGUCCGAUUAGGUAGUUGGUGGGGUAAAGGCCUACCAAGCCGACGAUCGGUAGCUGGUCUGAGAGGAUGAUCAGCCACACUGGGACUGAGAUACGGCCCAGACUCCUACGGGAGGCAGCAGUGGGGAAUAUUGGACAAUGGGGGCAACCCUGAUCCAGCAAUGCCGCGUGAGUGAUGAAGGCCUUAGGGUUGUAAAGCUUUUUUGCCAGGGAAGAUGAUGACUGUACCUGGAGAAUAAGCCCCGGCUAACUUCGUGCCAGCAGCCGCGGUAAU